rnacentral:rRNA from 1 species
UGGGGAAUUUUGGACAAUGGGCGAAAGCCUGAUCCAGCAAUGCCGCGUGUGUGAAGAAGGCCUUCGGGUUGUAAAGCACUUUUGUCCGGAAAGAAAUCCUUGGCUCUAAUACAGUCGGGGGAUGACGGUACCGGAAGAAUAAGCACCGGCUAACUACGUGCCAGCAGCCGCGGUAAUACGUAGGGUGCAAGCGUUAAUCGGAAUUACUGGGCGUAAAGCGUGCGCAGGCGGUUUGCUAAGACCGAUGUGAAAUCCCCGGGCUCAACCUGGGAACUGCAUUGGUGACUGGCAGGCUAGAGUAUGGCAGAGGGGGGUAGAAUUCCACGUGUAGCAGUGAAAUGCGUAGAGAUGUGGAGGAAUACCGAUGGCGAAGGCAGCCCCCUGGCAAGUACUGACGCUCAUGCACGAAAGCGUGGGGAGCAAACAGGAUUAGAUACCCUGGUAGUCCACGCCCUAAACGAUGUCAACUAGUUGUUGGGGGAUUCAUUUCCUUAGUAACGUAGCUAACGCGUGAAGUUGACCGCCUGGGGAGUACGGUCGCAAGAUUAAAACUCAAA